CGGCCACGUUAUGUUGAAGCCCUGGUUCCCGUAAGAUCAGCGAUGUUAACCAAUGUCGAGUCUGGUCAGUACUUAGAUGGGUAACCUCUUGUGAAUAGAGAGUGCUGUAAG